rnacentral:rRNA from 1 species
CCUACGGGUGGCAGCAGUGGGGAAUAUUGCACAAUGGGGGAAACCCUGAUGCAGCGACGCCGCGUGAGUGAAGAAGUAUUUCGGUAUGUAAAGCUCUAUCAGCAGGGAAGAAAUAGCGACCUUUGGGUCGCCAGACGGUAACUGAUUAAGAAACCCCGGCUAACUACGUGCCAGCAGCCGCGGUAAUACGUAGGGGGCAAGCGUUAUCCGGAUUUAAUGGGUGUAAAGGGAGCGUAGACGGCAGCGCAAGGCUGAAGUGAAAUGCCGGGGCUUAAACCCGGAACUGCUUUGGAAACUGUGCAGCUAGAGUGCAGGAGAGGUAAGUGGAAUUCCUAGUGUAGCGGUGAAAGGCGUAGAUAUUAGGAGGAAACCCAGUGGCGAAGGCGGCUUACUGGACUGUAACUGACGUUGAGGCUCGAAAGCGUGGGGAGCAAACAGGAUUAGAUACCCUUGUAGUC